AUUGAACGCUGGCGGCAGGCCUAACACAUGCAAGUCGAACGGUAACAGGAAGAAGCUUGCUUCUUUGCUGACGAGUGGCGGACGGGUGAGUAAUGUCUGGGAAACUGCCUGAUGGAGGGGGAUAACUACUGGAAACGGCAGCUAAUACCGCAUAACGUCGCAAGACCAAAGAGGGGGACCUUCGGGCCUCUUGCCAUCGGAUGUGCCCAGAUGGGAUUAGCUUGUUGGUGGGGUAACGGCUCACCAAGGCGACGAUCCCUAGCUGGUCUGAGAGGAUGACCAGCCACACUGGAACUGAGACACGGUCCAGACUCCUACGGGAGGCAGCAGUGGGGAAUAUUGCACAAUGGGCGCAAGCCUGAUGCAGCCAUGCCGCGUGUAUGAAGAAGGCCUUCGGGUUGUAAAGUACUUUCAGCGGGGAGGAAGGGAGUAAAGUUAAUACCUUUGCUCAUUGACGUUACCCGCAGAAGAAGCACCGGCUAACUCCGUGCCAGCAGCCGCGGUAAUACGGAGGGUGCAAGCGUUAAUCGGAAUUACUGGGCGUAAAGCGCACGCAGGCGGUUUGUUAAGUCAGAUGUGAAAUCCCCGGGCUCAACCUGGGAACUGCAUCUGAUACUGGCAAGCUUGAGUCUCGUAGAGGGGGGUAGAAUUCCAGGUGUAGCGGUGAAAUGCGUAGAGAUCUGGAGGAAUACCGGUGGCGAAGGCGGCCCCCUGGACGAAGACUGACGCUCAGGUGCGAAAGCGUGGGGAGCAAACAGGAUUAGAUACCCUGGUAGUCCACGCCGUAAACGAUGUCGACUUGGAGGUUGUGCCCUUGAGACGUGGCUUCCGGAGCUAACGCGUUAAGUCGACCGCCUGGGGAGUACGGCCGCAAGGUUAAAACUCAAAUGAAUUGACGGGGGCCCGCACAAGCGGUGGAGCAUGUGGUUUAAUUCGAUGCAACGCGAAGAACCUUACCUGGUCUUGACAUCCACGGAAGUUUUCAGAGAUGAGAAUGUGCCUUCGGGAACCGUGAGACAGGUGCUGCAUGGCUGUCGUCAGCUCGUGUUGUGAAAUGUUGGGUUAAGUCCCGCAACGAGCGCAACCCUUAUCCUUUGUUGCCAGCGGUCCGGCCGGGAACUCAAAGGAGACUGCCAGUGAUAAACUGGAGGAAGGUGGGGAUGACGUCAAGUCAUCAUGGCCCUUACGACCAGGGCUACACACGUGCUACAAUGGCGCAUACAAAGAGAAGCGACCUCGCGAGAGCAAGCGGACCUCAUAAAGUGCGUCGUAGUCCGGAUUGGAGUCUGCAACUCGACUCCAUGAAGUCGGAAUCGCUAGUAAUCGUGGAUCAGAAUGCCACGGUGAAUACGUUCCCGGGCCUUGUACACACCGCCCGUCACACCAUGGGAGUGGGUUGCAAAAGAAGUAGGUAGCUUAACCUUCGGGAGGGCGCUUACCACUUUGUGAUUCAUGACUGGGGUGAAGUC
rnacentral:rRNA from 1 species